GUAGGGAAUAUUGGACAAUGGGCGAAAGCCUGAUCCAGCAAUGCCGCGUGAGUGAUGAAGGCCUUAGGGUUGUAAAGCUCUUUUACCAGGGAUGAUAAUGACAGUACCUGGAGAAUAAGCUCCGGCUAACUCCGUGCCAGCAGCCGCGGUAAUACGGAGGGAGCUAGCGUUGUUCGGAAUUACUGGGCGUAAAGCGCACGUAGGCGGUUACUCAAGUCAGAGGUGAAAGCCCGGGGCUCAACCCCGGAACUGCCUUUGAAACUAGGUAACUAGAAUCUUGGAGAGGUCAGUGGAAUUCCGAGUGUAGAGGUGAAAUUCGUAGAUAUUCGGAAGAACACCAGUGGCGAAGGCGACUGACUGGACAAGUAUUGACGCUGAGGUGCGAAAGCGUGGGGAGCAAACAGGAUUAGAUACCCGAGUAGUCC
rnacentral:rRNA from 1 species